rnacentral:ncRNA from 1 species
UUUUAUUCUAGCUUGAAUUUUUAAUUUAUAAAUUAUUUUAUAUGUAAAUUUUAGUGUGAAUAAGUUAUUCUUUAAAUAAGAAUAAUUUACAAAGUUUGAGUUCGCAAUAUUGAAGAUUAAAAAUAAAAGAAAUUUUGAUUUAGGGAUUUAUAUUAGUAUUAACAAAAUUUGUGCCAGCAGUUGCGGUUACACAAAUAAUGCAAUUAAAUAGGUUUAGUUAAUAAUUAAUUUGUAUUUGUUGUUAGUUAUCAAUAAAAUUUAUUAGGUGAAAUUAUUAAUUUUUAUUUAGCUAUAGUAUAAAAAAUGAGGUUAUGAAAUUUUUAAAAUAGACUAGGAUUAGAUACCCUAUUAUUGAAAAUUUAAAUUAUUAUACUAGAGUAGUAGUAGUUAUGUUCUUGAAAUUCAAAGAAUCUGGCGGUAUUUUAGUCUAUUCAGAGGAACCUGUCCUGUAAUUGAUAAUCCACGAUUAAUUGUACUUAUUUUAAAGGUUUGUAUAUCGUCGUAGGUUGAAUGUUCUAAGAGGAUUAUUAAUGUUCAAUAUUUAUAAUUAUAAAUAAUAUCAGAUCAAGAUACAGCGUAUAGAUAAGAAGAGAUGGGUUACAAUAAAAGUAUUUAUAUGGUUAAUAUAUUUAAUAUUAUAUUAUAAAGUGGAUUUGAUAGUAAUAUAGUUUAUUUAAAUUAUAUGAUUUUAGCUCUAAAAUAUGCACAUAUCGCCCGUCGCUCCCAUUUUAAGAUGGGAUAAGUCGUAACAAAGUAGGCGUACUGGAAAGUGUGCCUAGCAAGG